AACGAACGCUGGCGGCAGGCUUAACACAUGCAAGUCGAGCGCCCCGCAAGGGGAGCGGCAGACGGGUGAGUAACGCGUGGGAAUCUACCCAUCUCUACGGAAUAACGCAUGGAAACGUGUGCUAAUACCGUAUACGUCCUUCGGGAGAGAGAUUUAUCGGAGAUGGAUGAGCCCGCGUUGGAUUAGCUAGUUGGUGGGGUAAAGGCCUACCAAGGCGACGAUCCAUAGCUGGUCUGAGAGGAUGAUCAGCCACACUGGGACUGAGACACGGCCCAGACUCCUACGGGAGGCAGCAGUGGGGAAUAUUGGACAAUGGGCGCAAGCCUGGUCCAGCCAUGCCGCGUGAGUGAUGAAGGCCCUAGGGUUGUAAAGCUCUUUCACCGGUGAAGAUAAUGACGGUAACCGGAGAAGAAGCCCCGGCUAACUUCGUGCCAGCCGCCGCAGUAAGAC
rnacentral:rRNA from 1 species